rnacentral:rRNA from 1 species
AUUGAACGCUGGCGGCAUGCCUUACACAUGCAAGUCGAACGGCAGCACGGGAGCAAUCCUGGUGGCGAGUGGCGAACGGGUGAGUAAAGUAUCGGAACGUGCCCAGUCGUGGGGGAUAACGUAGCGAAAGUUACGCUAAUACCGCAUACGAUCUAUGGAUGAAAGCGGGGGAUCGCAAGACCUCGCGCGAUUGGAGCGGCCGAUAUCAGAUUAGGUAGUUGAUGGGGUAAAGGCUCACCAAGCCGACGAUCUGUAGCUGGUCUGAGAGGACGACCAGCCACACUGGGACUGAGACACGGCCCAGACUCCUACGGGAGGCAGCAGUGGGGAAUUUUGGACAAUGGGCGAAAGCCUGAUCCAGCCAUGCCGCGUGCAGGAUGAAGGCCUUCGGGUUGUAAACUGCUUUUGUACGGAACGAAAAGGUUUGGCCUAAUAAGCUGGGCUCAUGACGGUACCGUAAGAAUAAGCACCGGCUAACUACGUGCCAGCCGCCGCGGUAA